GAUGAACGCUAGCGACAGGCUUAACACAUGUAAGUCGAGGGGCAGCGGGGUGUGGCAACACAUUGCCGGCGACCGGCGCACGGGUGAGUAACGCGUAUUCAACUUGCCUAUCAGAGGGGGAUAACCCGGCGAAAGUCGGACUAAUACCGCAUAAAACAGGGGUUCCGCAUGGGGAUAUUUGUUUAAGAUUAAUCGCUGAUAGAAAGGCAUGCGUUCCAUUAGGCAGUUGGCGGGGUAACGGCCCACCAAACCGACGAUGGAUAGGGGUUCUGAGAGGAAGGUCCCCCACAUUGGUACUGAGACACGGACCAAACUCCUACGGGAGGCAGCAGUGAGGAAUAUUGGUCAAUGGCCGGGAGGCUGAACCAGCCAAGUCGCGUGGAGGACGAAGGUCCUACGGAUUGUAAACUUCUUUUGUGCGGGAAUAAAGUCGGGGACGCGUCCCCGUUUGCAUGUACCGCACGAAUAAGCAUCGGCUAACUCCGUGCCAGCAGCCGCAGUAA
rnacentral:rRNA from 1 species